rnacentral:rRNA from 1 species
GGGGAAUAUUGCACAAUGGGCGAAAGCCUGAUGCAGCAACGCCGCGUGAGUGAUGAAGGCCUUCGGGUCGUAAAACUCUGUCCUCAAGGAAGAUAAUGACGGUACUUGAGGAGGAAGCCCCGGCUAACUACGUGCCAGCAGCCGCGGUAAUACGUAGGGGGCUAGCGUUAUCCGGAUUUACUGGGCGUAAAGGGUGCGUAGGUGGUUUUUUAAGUCAGGAGUGAAAGGCUACGGCUCAACCGUAGUAAACUCUUGAAACUGGAAAACUUGAGUGCAGGAGAGGAAAGUGGAAUUCCUAGUGUAGCGGUGAAAUGCGUAGAUAUUAGGAGGAACACCGGUGGCGAAGGCGGCUCUCUGGACCGAUACUGACGCUGAGACGCGAAAGCGUGGGUAGCAAAC